rnacentral:lncRNA from 1 species
UGAAUUUAUCGAACCAAGAGGAUUUGUAUUGUCUUUGAUUGAACAUAAUAUACCUUGAUUUAAUAUCAUAUUUAUCUUUCAAUAACCUUUUUAAUAGUAAUGCCACCUGCAGUCAAAAUAAAAUUAUGCUGCCUUUAAGGCAACAUCUCUUCCAUGAUAUCUCAGUUUCCGAUCUUUUAACAGUUUAAAGAGGAGUACCAAAUUCAUCUAAAGAAAGAGAGAAAGAAAAAAAAAACAAUUGCAAAUUAUAAAAAAAAAGAAGAUGUGGUAUGAUUUCCAAUGAGAAAACUCUUCACAAGAGACCAAAUGACACAGAAAUUAACAACUAAAGGUCACCGUACGGCCUUCAUAAAUGAUCAAAACCUAUCAUAGUCAGCUAUAGAAGGCCUCGAAAUAACAAAUGUAAAACAAUUCAAACGAGAAAUCUAAAGGCCUAAUUCAUGUACAAAAUAAUGAACGAAAAACAAAUAUAUCACAGCAACAAACGACAAGCUCCUGACCUGGGACAGGCACAUAUAUUGUACAUGAUAUAGAAUGUGUCGAGGUUAGACAUGUUAGCGGGAUCCCAACCCUCUAACGUGGGACAGUGGUGCCGGUGUAACAGUAC